rnacentral:rRNA from 1 species
AGAGUUUGAUCCUGGCUCAGGAUGAACGCUAGCUACAGGCUUAACACAUGCAAGUCGAGGGGAAACGAUAUUGGAAGCUUGCUUCCGAUAGGCGUCGACCGGCGCACGGGUGAGUAACGCGUAUCCAACCUGCCCACCACUUGGGGAUAACCUUGCGAAAGUAAGACUAAUACCCAAUGACGUCUCUAGAAGACAUCUGAAAGAGAUUAAAGAUUUAUCGGUGAUGGAUGGGGAUGCGUCUGAUUAGCUUGUUGGCGGGGUAACGGCCCACCAAGGCGACGAUCAGUAGGGGUUCUGAGAGGAAGGUCCCCCACAUUGGAACUGAGACACGGUCCAAACUCCUACGGGAGGCAGCAGUGAGGAAUAUUGGUCAAUGGGCGAGAGCCUGAACCAGCCAAGUAGCGUGCAGGAAGACGGCCCUAUGGGUUGUAAACUGCUUUUAUAAGGGAAUAAAGUGAGUCUCGUGAGACUUUUUGCAUGUACCUUAUGAAUAAGGACCGGCUAAUUCCGUGCCAGCAGCCGCGGUAAUACGGAAGGUCCGGGCGUUAUCCGGAUUUAUUGGGUUUAAAGGGAGCGUAGGCCGGAGAUUAAGCGUGUUGUGAAAUGUAGACGCUCAACGUCUGCACUGCAGCGCGAACUGGUUUCCUUGAGUACGCACAAAGUGGGCGGAAUUCGUGGUGUAGCGGUGAAAUGCUUAGAUAUCACGAAGAACUCCGAUUGCGAAGGCAGCUCACUGGAGCGCAACUGACGCUGAAGCUCGAAAGUGCGGGUAUCGAACAGGAUUAGAUACCCUGGUAGUCCGCACGGUAAACGAUGGAUGCCCGCUGUUGGUCUGAACAGGUCAGCGGCCAAGCGAAAGCAUUAAGCAUCCCACCUGGGGAGUACGCCGGCAACGGUGAAACUCAAAGGAAUUGACGGGGGC